CUUAAAGACCACAUCUGUGGACCCACAGAGAAGUCACGUUGUACACAGCAUGGAAAUUGUGCUUAUCUGAUGGGUGAAGAAACCGAGGACCCUGAGAGAGUCCCAGGGUUUGUGUCCCUGCACAAAACUUGACUCAGUUUCCUCAUCUGUAAAAUGGGAAUCAGGAGAGUUAUGAAAUUAAGCAGGACAGACUGGUGGCAGCUCUGCGUGAUUGGCAGCAAUUCUGGACGAACGGGGACAAGUCAGCCGGUCCGUUUCACCGCACCCAAGCUCCCAGCUCUUCAUCAGAACCCAGUUCUGACCUGUAAGAAGUCUCAUGAUGUCAAGUGCAUCUCCGUAAUCCUAGCACACUGGAGGCUGAAGCAGGAGGAUGACUGUGAGUUUGAGGUCAGCCUGGACCACAUAGUGAGUUCAAGACCAGCCUGAGCUAUACCGCAAGACCAUGUCUCAAACAAUGAAAAUAAAAGGAAGCCGCACCAAGAGGGUAGGUGCUACCAUUGCCCC
rnacentral:lncRNA from 1 species